UUGAAAAAUCUCAUCACAGUUCGCGAUAUAUGAACUAGGCUAAUAUAAGUGAUUCCCCUAAGCUCGGUACAGGAGUAGUACCGAGCUCUUUUUU
rnacentral:sRNA from 1 species